rnacentral:sRNA from 1 species
GAGUAGAUGCACCCCGAUCAACUAGCCCUCGGAUUAAUCUGAGGGUUUUUUUU